rnacentral:rRNA from 1 species
AUACGGAGGGGGUUAGCGUUGUUCGGAAUUACUGGGCGUAAAGCGUACGUAGGCGGAUCAGAAAGUUAGGGGUGAAAUCCCGAGGCUCAACCUCGGAACUGCCUCUAAAACUCCUGGUCUUGAGUUCGAGAGAGGUGAGUGGAAUUCCAAGUGUAGAGGUGAAAUUCGUAGAUAUUUGGAGGAACACCAGUGGCGAAGGCGGCUCACUGGCUCGAUACUGACGCUGAGGUACGAAAGUGUGGGGAGCAAACAGGAUUAGAUACCCUGGUAGUCCACACCGUAAACGAUGAAUGCCAGUCGUCGGGCAGUAUACUGUUCGGUGACACACCUAACGGAUUAAGCAUUCCGCCUGGGGAGUACGGUCGCAAGAUUAAA